AUUGAACGCUGGCGGCAGGCCUAACACAUGCAAGUCGAGCGGAUGAAGGGAGCUUGCUCCUGGAUUCAGCGGCGGACGGGUGAGUAAUGCCUAGGAAUCUGCCUGGUCGUGGGGGAUAACGUCCGGAAACGGGCGCUAAUCUCGCAUACGUCCUGAGGGAGAAAGUGGGGGAUCUUCGGACCUCACGCUAUUAGCUGAGCCUAGGUCGUAUUAGCUAGUUGGUUGGGUAAAGGCCUACCAAGGCGACGAUCCGUAACUGGUCUGAGAGGAUGAUCAGUCACACUGGAACUGAGACACGGUCCAGACUCCUACGGGAGGCAGCAGUGGGGAAUAUUGGACAAUGGGCGAAAGCCUGAUGCAGCCAUGCCGCGUGAGUGAAGAAGGUCUUCGGAUUGUAAAGCACUGUAAGUUGGGAGGAAGGGCAGUAAGUUAAUACCUUGCUGUUUUGACGUUACCAACAGAAUAAGCACCGGCUAACUUCGUG
rnacentral:rRNA from 1 species